AUUGAACGCUGGCGGCAUGCCUUACACAUGCAAGUCGAACGGCAGCACGGGUGCUUGCACCUGGUGGCGAGUGGCGAACGGGUGAGUAAUACAUCGGAACGUACCUUAUCGUGGGGGAUAACGCAGCGAAAGCUGUGCUAAUACCGCAUACGCCCUGAGGGGGAAAGCGGGGGAUCGAAAGACCCCGCGCGAUUAGAGCGGCCGAUGCCUGAUUAGCUUGUUGGUGGGGUAAAAGCCCACCAAGGCGACGAUCAGUAGCUGGUCUGAGAGGACGAUCAGCCACACUGGGACUGAGACACGGCCCAGACUCCUACGGGAGGCAGCAGUGGGGAAUUUUGGACAAUGGGGGAAACCCUGAUCCAGCAAUGCCGCGUGAGUGAAGAAGGCCUUCGGGUUGUAAAGCUCUUUUGUCAGGGAAGAAACACCGGCUCUAACACAGUCCGGGAAUGACGGUACCUGAAGAAUAAGCACCGGCUAACUACGUGCCAGCCGCCGCGGUAA
rnacentral:rRNA from 1 species